ensembl:miRNA
UGGCCUGGUCAGAGGAAGCGGGAAAUGAGAGUUACCCAGGACCUUUGCAUACUCACCCCUGCCACUCACUGGCCCCCAG